rnacentral:rRNA from 1 species
UCUGUACAUUAUAGAAGGUAACGCCUGCCCAGUGACUAUGUGUUAAACGGCCGCGGUAUACUGACCGUGCAAAGGUAGCGUAAUCACUUGUCUUUUAAAUGAAGACUAGUAUGAAUGGCAUCACGAGAACUAAUCUGUCUCCCUCCCCCAAUCAGUGAAACUGAUCUCCCCGUGCAGAAGCGGGGAUAAUAUCAUAAGACGAGAAGACCCUGUGGAGCUUAAAAUCAAAAAUCAACUGCUUCUCCCACCUAUACUAAAGAAACAUUUUCCGCAAGCCUGAUUUAGAUUUUCAGCUGGGGCGGCUGUGGAGAAAAAUAAAUCCUCCACGAAUAUUUAUGCUGAAAGCCACCGCGAUAGGCAUUAAUAAACUUAAUUUUAAUUGACCCAAUUUUUGAUCAACGAACCA